GGAGGAUUUGACAUAGGAGGUGUCAUCUCAGACGUCUGUGGUGGGAAGAAAGAGGAGAAAGGAGGAUUUGACAUAGGAAACAUCAUCUCAGGCGCGUGUGGUGGGAAGAAAGAGGAGAAAGGAGGAUUUGACAUAGGAGGUGUCAUCUCAGACGUCUGUGGUGGGAAGAAAGAGGAGAAAGGAGGAUUUGACAUAGGAAACAUCAUCUCAGGCGUGUGUGGCGGGAAGAAAGAGGAGAAAGGAGGAUUUGACAUAGGAAACAUCAUCUCAGGCGCGUGUGGCGGGAAGAAAGAGGAGAAAGGAGGAUUAGAUGUAGGGAACAUCAUCUCAGGCGUCUGUGGUGGCAAGAAAGAGGAGAAAGGAGGAUUCGACAUAGGAAACAUCAUCUCAAUUGUUGGUGGUGGAGAGAAACAUGAUGACAAGAAGGAAGAGGAAGGAGCAGGGCUGGAUGUGAAGGACGUCAUCGGAGGACUUUCAAAACUCUUUUAACAAACGCCCUGCAGACCACGUCCAUCGUGACUCCGCCUGCAGCGUCCUUAGAGUGGAGCAACUCCACCCAAACUGCUGGAACAUUGUUGCUUUCAAUAUUUACAAAUUAUUUGCCACCAGAGACAUCCUCAGACCUUCUAAUAUGAAAUCACUGAAAAUAAUAUAACUGUAAGAAACAUGCACAAUGACAUAAUUUAAAGUUAAAUUGAAUGUUAGUGACUGGCUCCUGCUGGUGACACUUUGACAUGUUGGGUAUGUUCAUAUUUCCUUUGCUGGUUUUACACCAUGAGAGUGAACUGAAAACAUGAUGGAAAUUAAAAUGUAUCUGUAAAGUCAAAACUUGUGAAAUUUGGUAGACAAACUGUGAAAACAUCACUUCACUGGGUCAGUAUAUGGUUAAAAUAUCUGUAAUCCUGAAGCCUGAUGAAGCCUCCUACAUGAGGAGAAACGCUGUUUAUUUGUUUGGUGUGGGAAUAAAGCAUGGGAGCAGCAAUACUUCAUGUGCGACAAAUCUUGAUUUUCUUAAGUUUUUCCUUUGAUGUCAGCACCGAUUAGAAAAAGUUUAUUUGGAGGAUGUGCAUUCUUUAUAUUUGUUUCACUAAAAUAUCUGUAAUGUCACAUGGACACAGCAGUACUUUGUGUCAUUAAUUCAGUUAAACAGUCAUUGUCAUGAAUUGAAUGUAUUAAACACCAGUGCAAAUUGUCUCUUGUUUUGGUGAAGUUUGCUAAUAAAAUACUAAUUAAACUGUU